AAAUCAUGGAGGGUUUGGAUGAUUGCAGCCUUUCGGUUCUAAAUGCUGCCAACAUAGAUGAGGUCUUGCUCCACACCCUCAGUGGGGACGAUUUAAGGGACCUGCUUCCAGGGCCUGAACAUUUUAUGAGGAGGAAACAGUUGUGGGCUCAUGUUCACAAAGAGGAUGAAACUAAAGAAAAGGCGUCUCAUGGAUAUCUCACCAUGUGACCAGGGAGAAGAUUAUGAUGCAGAUUCAAGUGGUGGAUCAAACAUG